UUUAUGGUGCCUGAUUAAAGGGAAGUCUUGAUAGGACUGAUUAUGUAAUUUUAUUUUUAUUACCCAUAUUG
rnacentral:tRNA from 1 species